rnacentral:rRNA from 1 species
UGGCCCAGGACGAACGCUGGCGGCGUGCCUAAUACAUGCAAGUCGAGCGAGCGGAACUAACAGAUUUACUUCGGUAAUGACGUUAGGAAAGCGAGCGGCGGAUGGGUGAGUAACACGUGGGGAACCUGCCCCAUAGUCUGGGAUACCACUUGGAAACAGGUGCUAAUACCGGAUAAGAAAGCAGAUCGCAUGAUCAGCUUUUAAAAGGCGGCGUAAGCUGUCGCUAUGGGAUGGCCCCGCGGUGCAUUAGCUAGUUGGUAAGGUAAAGGCUUACCAAGGCGAUGAUGCAUAGCCGAGUUGAGAGACUGAUCGGCCACAUUGGGACUGAGACACGGCCCAAACUCCUACGGGAGGCAGCAGUAGGGAAUCUUCCACAAUGGACGCAAGUCUGAUGGAGCAACGCCGCGUGAGUGAAGAAGGUUUUCGGAUCGUAAAGCUCUGUUGUUGGUGAAGAAGGAUAGAGGUAGUAACUGGCCUUUAUUUGACGGUAAUCAACCAGAAAGUCACGGCUAACUACGUGCCAGCAGCCGCGGUAAUACGUAGGUGGCAAGCGUUGUCCGGAUUUAUUGGGCGUAAAGCGAGCGCAGGCGGAAGAAUAAGUCUGAUGUGAAAGCCCUCGGCUUAACCGAGGAACUGCAUCGGAAACUGUUUUUCUUGAGUGCAGAAGAGGAGAGUGGAACUCCAUGUGUAGCGGUGGAAUGCGUAGAUAUAUGGAAGAACACCAGUGGCGAAGGCGGCUCUCUGGUCUGCAACUGACGCUGAGGCUCGAAAGCAUGGGUAGCGAACAGGAUUAGAUACCCUGGUAGUCCAUGCCGUAAACGAUGAGUGCUAAGUGUUGGGAGGUUUCCGCCUCUCAGUGCUGCAGCUAACGCAUUAAGCACUCCGCCUGGGGAGUACGACCGCAAGGUUGAAACUCAAAGGAAUUGACGGGGGCCCGCACAAGCGGUGGAGCAUGUGGUUUAAUUCGAAGCAACGCGAAGAACCUUACCAGGUCUUGACAUCUAGUGUCAUUUGUAGAGAUACAAAGUUCCCUUCGGGGACGCUAAGACAGGUGGUGCAUGGCUGUCGUCAGCUCGUGUCGUGAGAUGUUGGGUUAAGUCCCGCAACGAGCGCAACCCUUGUUAUUAGUUGCCAGCAUUAAGUUGGGCACUCUAAUGAGACUGCCGGUGACAAACCGGAGGAAGGUGGGGAUGACGUCAAGUCAUCAUGCCCCUUAUGACCUGGGCUACACACGUGCUACAAUGGGCAGUACAACGAGAAGCGAGCCUGCGAAGGCAAGCGAAUCUCUGAAAGCUGUUCUCAGUUCGGACUGCAGUCUGCAACUCGACUGCACGAAGCUGGAAUCGCUAGUAAUCGCGGAUCAGCACGCCGCGGUGAAUACGUUCCCGGGCCUUGUACACACCGCCCGUCACACCAUGGGAGUCUGCAAUGCCCAAAGCCGGUGGCCUAACCUUCGGGAAGGAGCCGUCUAAGGCAGGGCAGAUGAC